CAUCCUUCAGGUGAAGAAAGGUUUUAGGGACUUCAACAGGUUUGUUUUGUCAUGUGGAGACAGACGGUUUUCCAGUAAUGGAUCAGUUGGUUCGGAGAGCAGAGAAGACAUGUCUGCCUACAUCUGCGGUUAAGUCACGCCCCCAGAUGUGACAGUAUUAUUUAAUAAUGGUGUCAUGGAUAAGGAACUUUUGGAGGCACACAUCUGGCUUGUUUGUCCUACUGUUGGACAGCCAUGCUCUAAAGGACAUAUAGCUCUAGUGCUGGGACAGGAGAUAUAACACAAAGCUCACACUGCAGAAAUGUGACACCGUUAUCACAAUUGUACAGUGGCUACCUCUGCUCACCUCCCAACUAAAAGAUAAACCCUCUGUUAUUGGGUGCAUUAACCAACACAUUUGUGCAAAAUCAAUUUCUGUCUAUGUGUAUUUGUUCCCAAAAGCUUCCCACAUAGCAAGAUUACAACAGAAAAAAAGAAAUACAGCAUUCUUAGGGUAGGGGCACACAGGGAGAUUAGUCGCCCGCAAUUUAUAAAAGCAAGUUCUGGCGACAAGUCGUUCGUUUCGUCUUUGCAUAAAGCUACAUGCAAAUCGCCAACUACUAUGCACACAGCGCAAAUUUGGGAUCGCCUGUAGCUCCAAAAUGCACAAAGACCGUCUUUGGAGCGAUUUGUCAGAAAUAGCAUGUACAUAAAGAAGUACUGAAAUGUCCUACAAGCACACACACACACAGAGAUUAGUAGCUGCGACAGUAUGUAAAUUCUUGCGCUUGCGUAAUUAUGUGGAGACAACACGCCGAGGGAAUGAAUGCCGAGAUGACUUCCGGCUCUUUCAUGGGAGGAGAACGUAGUGUGAAGCACUAUGGGGUAUAAAUCAAUUGGAAUCAAAAGUCGAGCAAAAUCUUUCCUGCACAAAGAUGAUCGCCUUGUUGCAGCGACUUCCUUUUUGAAAAUCACAGGCGACUAAUGUCCCUGUGUGCCCCUACCCUUAUCCAUACCCUCUAGAUAAGCCACAAUUGCCUCCAUUGAUAUUUUUUAGUGAUUGCACAAUUAGCAAUUUUGUACGCUUUGCAUCUGAAAUUACCCCCACACCGGAAACUGUACUUGGUCUGACACCUCAAGCCAUUUUCCCAUGUCAUUUUGGGCCACAUAAUUCCCUCCAGCACCUCCAGCCUGCCUAUAUCUAGUUCUGGCAUUGCUGAUGGCUUGUUUUUGCCUGUAGCCGUCCAUUCCACAUGGAAGCAAAGAAUUGUAAUUUAUUUCUGUAAUGCCAAUGCCACACAAUAAAAAAGUUCCAGGAGUGAAGUGAAAGUAACACUUGAGUGCAGCCAGUCCUGUACAAGCAGUGGAAAUCCUGGACAAUUACAUACCUGAACUGGAAAAGUCCAGUGUCUCCCGGGACAUGUAUGAAUGUGAAUGUUUAACUGCAAUAAAAAUGAAACUGUCAAAGCCAGGGAUCCCGUGCGGUGGCGACAUUGAUGGCAGACGCAGGUGGAUGAGUUGUUGAGACGUGCAGCUUGCCAUAGAGGGUAUGAUGUCAAUUGGCCCAGGUUGUUGCUAUGUCCAGGCAGUAUUGUUGUUUUCCCAUAUUAGAACCAUUGCCUUACUCCUGCCAACUCCAGCUGGGAUCCACGUUGGAGAAAUCUGCCAAGUUGGUUUCCUCGUUGCGAAUUUGAGAGGAGAAUGACUGCGGGAUCUCAGUGAAGUCAUCUGCUGAUGGCUAUAUGAAAGGAAACAAUGUGCUUCUUACAUACUUCAUUUCACUCAAGAUAAGUUGUAACUUAAUAUGUGGCUUGAAUUAUCUGUAAAAAGUGAUUACUGGAUUCAGAUAUUAAUACCCAGAAAAAUAGAAGCAGGGUAAAUUAAAAUCAGACUAUCAGUAUCCACCAAAACUCAACGACUUUAUUUUGGAAAUAAAAUUACAAAAAGUUUCUGAAGGCCAAUGAAUGAGCUAUUUAAAAAGGUAACUGUCAAUAAAUAAAUAAGGGACCCAUUAACCUCACUAUGGACACAUGAUUAUCUGUCCUUGUUACAGUGAUUAACCAAAGUGGAGACCAAGCUGAAGUCCAGGUUGGGUGAAAUCUGAAGGUGAAUUGCGUUUUAUCAGUCUUGGAUAUUACUAGAACUUUGGGAAAGUUCCUUUUACCAACAUGUUUUCAUAUCUAAAUGAAGCCCAACCCAAUGGUGGGAGCCUUAACCCAAAAGCUCCGAAGACCUCUGGCCUACCAAGUGGUGGUUGAGUAAAAAAGAGCAGCAUUUUUCUGCAGUGUGAAAGUGGGUGGAUGUAUCAUAUAUAGCACAUGUAUUUACCAUUCCUGGCUGGAAAGGGGUCUUCACUCUCCGGUUCUCCAGCACUUCCCAAUUCACUGUGCUAUAGAAAGCGUGCUCCCUGAUGUUUCCAUUGAUACCGAUCCGCUGAUUCUCGUCCAUCUCCAAAAGCUAAAGAGAGACAUGAAUUUCAAUAUCGCAGGUGCUUUGUCAUGUACCUCCUAGCAUUAAUAUAUAUAUUACGCUGAUAUUUACCUUUGGCAGGAGGUCCAGCAUUUCCUGGCUCAUAUAAUAUGGGUAAUAAGGCUUAUUCUUCUUUAUAGCAUAGAAUUGCCUUAAAAUACUGCCUGAUGGUGAAAAUGGCAAGCUGCCCGUGGCCAUUUGGUACAUGGUAAUCCCAAAGGACCACCAAUCCACGCCUGCGUUAUACUCUGCCUUUGAUAGAACCUAUUAAAUAAAAUGAUUACAGAGAAAACAUGAGUCAUGAACUUGAGCCAGUACCUGCAGAACACAAAAUAACACGGCAACAUAUUAAAUUGCAAAUGGAUUACA